GGGUAUCGAACUCAAUGCAAACAGAAGAACGUGUGACGAUAUCAACGAGUGCCGCGAGCAGGACGUGCAGUGUGGCAGGGACCAACUCUGCUUCAAUCUCCGGGGUUCGUACAAGUGUGGUGUCCGCGCCCUGCCCGCCCGAAUACCAGAGAGACCCAGCCACAGGCUCGUGCAUCCUGGACUGCCGGUGGGGUAAGAACAACUGCCCCCCGGCGUG